GACUUGCAUCCUCAUGAGACUCUUAAACCCCCUCCUGACCUUCAGAGAUGUUUAUCAUCAGAGAUGGGUUAUGGAAGUGAUCCUAUAGAACCUGAGAGAUUGCUUAACUCAAACUCUGCUUCUACAUUAGAGUGUCUUCUGAAAAAUGACCUCAACAAAAUUUGCUAUCUACCUAUUUACUAACAUAAAUGAGGAAACCAAAAAGGUCAACGGUGAGGCAGGAAGGUUUCAGUUCAGUGGAGAAAAGAAAAUCUUGAUGAAAUGUCAUUAACUUCCAUAUUUGGAAUAAGCUAUAAAAGCUUGUCGAAGGUCUAAUUUAUGUGCAAGACUGAAAGCUGUUUAAACGGAUAAUAUGCCUCCUUCAUGAGAAAUACCACCCCUUUAUGCUCCAUUAAGUUCAGACGUUGACUCUAUAAGCUACGUACCAAUUAUUUCUUUCCAGAAACAGCAACGUAGUUUUUUUCUGCAAGGGACAACAGAUUAUUGUAGGCGGCUAUUAAUCUCCACAUAGUUCACAAAAUACACAGGACACUAGGGAGAAAACAAUCACGUUGCUAUUUUAACAUUUGCAAAAUGCUAUGUGGAGAGGAAAUAAAAAGAAGAUGCUUGUCUGAUUGC
rnacentral:lncRNA from 1 species